ACCCUAAUAGUUUAUUAAAACAUUGGUCUUGUAAACCAAAGAUUGAAGAAUCGUUCUUCUUAGAGUA
rnacentral:tRNA from 1 species